rnacentral:lncRNA from 10 species
GCCCUAAAGGUUUCUCCCUACAUAACAAACUGUAACCUUACUGAAUGUGUAAACAGACUAUAACCUAUUCUUGUGCCAGUCACUAAGUUUUGGCCAAUUGAAGGCAGUUAGCUGUUCAAACCGUGUUCAAAUAAGCCAAACACCGAGCUGUGGCCAAUCCAGCUGUUACUGUACCUCACUUCUGUUUUCUCUAUGUCGGUUUCCUUUUGCUGUGCAUAAAUCUUCCACCAGGCGGUUCUGCGCUGGAGCCUCUUUGAACCUAUGUGCUUUAGGGGCUGCCCGAUUCGCAAAUCCCAAAUCGCUCUUUGCUCAGUGUAACUCUGUUCGGUGUAAUUUGUCUAAGGUUUUUUCUUCCAUCCUUAUAAAACCAUGACGCUGGCCGGGUGCGGUGGUGGCACUUUUCGAGGCCAAGGCGGGAGAAUCACAUGAGAUCAGGAGUUCGAGACCAGGCUGGCCAACAUGGCGAAACCCCGUCUCUACUAAAAAUACAAAAAACAAAAAACAAACAUUAGCCGGGCAUGGUGAUGCGCGCCUUUAAUCCCAGCUACUCGGAAGUCUGAGACGGGGAAUCCGUCAAACCCGGGAGGCGGAGACUGUAGUGAGCCAAGAUUGUGCCAGAGCACUCCAGCCUGGGUGACACAGCAAGACUCCAUCUCAAAAAAAAAUGAAAGUAAAAAAUAAAGCCACGAUGCCCUCGGAUUUUCCUCUCUUCUCGUGUGUCUGCUUCCCCUUUGACCUUCUCCACCAUGUUAUGACGCAGCACAGAAGCCUUCGCCAGCAGCAGAACAGAUGUCAGUACUAGGCUUCUUCAACUUCCCAGCUGGCAGAACUGUGAGCUAAAUAAACGUUUUCUUUAUAAAUUACCCAAUCUCAGGUGUUCUGUUAUAGUGGCACAAACUAUAGACUAAGACACUAGCCUCAAUG